GUGGAUCCUAGAAUUACGGUCCUGUCCUCUACGUCAUGGAUCCAUCGUAAAUGUUAAAACCGAGCCAUAGGCUGAAUUGUCAUAAUCGAUGAAGAACCUGAGGCCCAGAAGUGAAGUCACUUUUCCAAGUCACAUAGGCAAGCCGGCAAUGUCAGGAGUCCAAUCCAGGAAAGAUGGGAAAAAAAUAGAGGAAAAGCAAAACACACAAGCCACUUCUCAACCUGCAGGAACCCAAGCAGGAGGUCAGGCCUGAACCUGGAAAGAGGUAUGAGGACAGGAGUGGGGAGAAGCUUUAUAUUGGGUGUGAGAUUGAGGUUUGGAUGCAGACUGGACUGGACUUCUGAGUCGCUGAAAGUAAGUCAUGGCCAUUUGUGGGGGUUUUUGAAUAACUAUGUGACCAAAAUUCUGAAUCUAUGCUUCCCACUGUGGAGCAAAGAGAUCCAUCAGAACAGAGCGGGGAGUGACGCUUGGAGAAAAAACAGUCAUUUCCUAUC